rnacentral:rRNA from 1 species
GUCAAUGCUCGCAAGAGUGAACUAGCUAACUGAAAUCACAUGACUCAUUAAUUGAUGGUGAUUGUGAUAACAUAAGGAAAAAAAAUGAUAUUACCUUAUUAUUAGUGUUGUCCAAAACUGGUGCCAGAAGACUCGGUAAGACCAGAGACGCGAACGUUAGUCAUCUUAAUCAGGCGUAAAGGGUGUGUAGGCUGCUUUAAAAAUUUAAAUCUUUGUAAUAGCUCUGUAACCGUAUUGCUAUAUUAAGGUUGAUUUAAUGGGAUUAAACUAGAAAAAUCAAUAUCACAAAAAUGUAGUAUAUAAAAUUAAUUAAAUUUAAAUAAAUGAAAUUAACAAAUACCCGUGUCACAGUAAAGAAAUAAAUGAAUUAAAGCUAGGAUCAAAUUGAGGAUAAACCAAAUAAUACUUAGAGUAGGGGUUAAAUCCGCAGAUACUAAGGGGAAUACUAAAGGUGAAAACUUUUUAUCUACUAUUGAUUGACGCUGAGAAACGAAGGUGAGAACAGGAAAUAGGAUUAGAUACCCAGAUACCUCUCACUGUCAACGAUGAAUGGUGGUUUGUUAGUUUUAAUAAAAACUGGUAACGAUGUUAACACGAUAACCAUUCCGCCUUGCGAGUACGGUUGCAAAA